CUGGAACAGGUGACUAGACUGAUGAAAUAUGUAGAAAGUUGGAUGCCUAUUUUCUCAUAGAGUUGAUGCAGCAUGAGAGAACUCCAGUUAAGUUAUUACACUGUGCUGUAUCUUCAAGUGCCGGAUUCCCCGGACAAAGAAAGAGAUUGAGGCACGAUAUGCUCAACGGCAAGCAGCCAAGACAUAUGCAGACAAACUGGAGACUGUGCCACCACUCAAUGAGCUGACAGAGAUCCCUGGAGCUCAGGUAGCAGAAGAAAAAAAGGAAGAAGUUCCUACUGUCUCUGGAAAAGUGGA
rnacentral:lncRNA from 1 species